rnacentral:lncRNA from 1 species
UGCAACUUCAGGGAGAUAAGACUUGUAGCUUCAACUUAUUCUGCUGCAACUUUAAAGAUAAGUCUGAUGCGAUCUGCUCUACUGCAACUUCAGAGAGAUAAGAUCCAUCAUUUUAAUCUACUUCACUGCAAUAUCAGAGAAAUAGGGUAAUUGGCUUCAAUAUACUCCACUGCAACCUCAGGGAGGUAAAAUCUGCCAUCCUUGAUCUGCUCCACUACUGCUUAGGGAGAUAAGAUCUGUAAUCUUCAAUCUAUUCCACUGUUGUCCAGGGAAGUAGAAUUACUGGCUUCAAUGUACUCCACUGUAACCACAGGGAGGUAAAAUCUGCCAUUUUUUAUCUGUUCCACUACUGCUUGGGGAGACAAGAUCUGAAAUCUUCAAUCUAUUCCACUACUGUCCAUGGAAGUAGAAUUACUGGCUUCAAUGUACUCCACUGUAACCACG